rnacentral:lncRNA from 1 species
CAGCCUGAGAGUAAUAUAGAGGCUCAGAUUCCAAAGAGGAGGAAGAUGAGCCAGAGAAGGCAAGGAGUUGACAGACAUAAUCCUUAAGAUAGGAAGUAGGAUUAUGUUGUCUUUGAGACUUUCUGGGAGCAGGAACAGUGGGAGAGGGAACUAAAACAGAAGGGGAAACAACAGGACUGAAAGGAGUAGGAAAAGGCAUCUGCACAGAUGUGGGAGAAGAGGGAGGAGAGA